rnacentral:tRNA from 2 species
GGAAGCAUACCCAAGCGGUUGAAGGGGUCGGUCUUGAAAACCGAUAGGGGAUGCAAGUCCCGCCUGAGUUCGAAUCUCAGUGCUUCCGCCA